UCUCCGUAGGUGAACCUGCGGAGGGAUCAUUACUGAGUGAGGGCCCGCGCGGCCCGACCUCCAACCCUUUGUGAGACCCACCUCGUUGCUUCGGGGGUGACCCCGCCCGCUCGGGCGACGGCCCCCCGGAGGCGAUACCAACUCCUGUUGUCCCUGCGUCGGAGUACAUGCAAAUUUGCAAAACUUUCAACAACGGAUCUCUUGGCUCUGGCAUCGAUGAAGAACGCAGC
rnacentral:misc_RNA from 1 species